UGGGGAAUCUUGGACAAUGGGCGCAAGCCUGAUCCAGCCAUGCCGCGUGGAUGAUGAAGGCCUUAGGGUUGUAAAAUCCUUUCGCCGAGGACGAUAAUGACGGUACUCGGAGAAGAAGCUCCGGCUAACUUCGUGCCAGCAGCCGCGGUAAUACGAAGGGGGCUAGCGUUGUUCGGAUUUACUGGGCGUAAAGCGCGUGUAGGCGGGUCGUUAAGUUGGGGGUGAAAUCCCGAGGCUCAACCUCGGAACUGCCUUCAAAACUGGCGACCUGGACCUAAGUAGAGGCAAGUGGAAUUGCGAGUGUAGAGGUGAAAUUCGUAGAUAUUCGCAGGAACACCAGUGGCGAAGGCGACUUGCUGGACUUAUGGUGACGCUGAGACGCGAAAGCGUGGGAGCAAACAGGAUUAGAUACCCCAGUAGUCCCUGAGCGGGCUGGCAAGGCGCAU
rnacentral:rRNA from 1 species